rnacentral:rRNA from 1 species
UACGUAGGGUGCAAGCGUUGUCCGGAUUUAUUGGGCGUAAAGAGCUCGUAGGCGGUCUGUCGCGUCGGAUGUGAAAACCCAGGGCUCAACCCUGGGCCUGCAUUCGAUACGGGCAGACUAGAGUGUGGCAGGGGAGACUGGAAUUCCCGGUGUAGCGGUGAAAUGCGCAGAUAUCGGGAGGAACACCGGUGGCGAAGGCGGUUCUCUGGGCCUGUACUGACGCUGAGGAGCGAAAGCGUGGGGAGCGAACAGG